ACACUGAGAACUUGUUUUCCUUUUGGACCUGGAUAUAAAAUGUAUGGAAUUACCCUAGACAGUCCCUUUACACAAGAAUUGAAAUGAGACAGAAUCUGCUCUGAUGUUAAAAUUCCAUGCAUGGAAGUUUAAAGUUUGAGAUUUUGUCAUAUUUUUUUAAGGGUGUCCUCAAAAGAUCUGUGUGGAUCCUGGAACAGAGAAUGGAAUUGUUGCAGCAUUUCAUUGAAUCCUGUUUAGAAGGAAAUGGCAAUUCAGUUACUUAGAGAAAAUCUGGAGCAAAUCAAGGUGCUUCACAAUACUUCUAUGCAGUUCAACAAAAUAUAGCGCCUCAUUUACAGAGACUCAUAUUUAAACAAUUUCCAAGAUAUUGAUGAAGAUUUUACAUGUGUGGCAACAUCUAUUUUGCAUCAGCAUGAUCUGCCUUUGCCUGACACCUUGAGAGACUGGACCUCUGCUCAUCAUCUCUACAUAUAUCUGAGGGAGUGCAUGAUGCAUUUGAUGAUUCUUUAACAUCAUGAGAUGUUGUAGAAUAUACAUUUGGUUCCAUGACUUUGUACACUUGCUUUUAUUGCCAGCUGAUUUCUGUUCCAUAGUUUUAUGUAUUUAACUAAUCAGAUACAUUUUCAUGUAUUCACAUUUUCUGGGGGUGUUUUUUUUAUCCUUGAAAUAUUUUAAAUGUGGAGCUUUACAGAAUUUCAUUUGUUAUGAAUGCUAAAGGCUAUUCAUGAACAGAAUUUGUUCUUUGAACUCUCCCAUCCCACUCCACCAUCCCCUACAAAAACACCCAUGAAUUUUGUCCAAGCCAUACCUUUGUACUGUUAAACUUGCUAACCACAGGAGAAGUUUACAGAAUUUUUUUUUUAUUUACUAUGCAUUUAUAUAUUCAAAAUGUUUAGCACCUUCUGAUAUGUAUUAUUAAUGUCAGAUAUGUAUGAUUGUGUAAUAAAUUAUAUACAUGUA